rnacentral:rRNA from 1 species
UACGUAGGGGGCAAGCGUUGUCCGGAUUUAUUGGGCGUAAAGCGCGUGUAGGUGGCCAGGUAGGUCAGCUGUGAAAACUUGAGGCUCAACCUCAAGCUGUCGGUUGAAACCACUUGGCUAGAGUCCGGAAGAGGAGAGUGGAAUUCCUGGUGUAGCGGUGAAAUGCGCAGAUAUCAGGAAGAACACCAAUGGCGAAGGCAGCUCUCUGGGACGGUACUGACACUGAGACGCGAAAGCGUGGGGAGCGAACAGG